UUUCAGGUCACAGCAUCAACUCCUAUCCCUGCAAUCGAGUCUUCAGAAGGAAUUACCAGGACGCUUCUUUGCCGUCAGGUUCGGAUCCCGUGUCUCCUGUAGCUCAAUCACCUAGAGCAGAUCCACCUAAGGUUGUGCGUUCGUCUACAGCCAUAUCAGCAUCAGGACUAAGUAUGCUAGCUGGAACUACAUCAAUACCUAAAAGGGUAAGAGCAUCUCUUUGCAUUUUGUUUGUUAAUCUACUUAUGGUCUGUUGACACUAUCUUAUGGUCGUGGAACUUUGACCCGGCCAUUUUUUUGACAUGGUAUCUUGGAGUGUCUAUUUUGUACAUAUAAUAUAUUGUAAGAUUCUACAGCUGUUAUUAGUAAUUCUGUUAUAGAGUAUCUUGGUGUAUUCAAGGGCAGUUUUUGAAAUCCUAUUGAAAAUAUUUUUUAAGGAACUCGAGGCGAAUGUCUCGGUUUCGAAGAAGCAGAAAAUGAAGAAGUAAGUUGUCUAACCAUUUGAUCUCUCUUGGUUUGCUUGACUCUAAUUGUGUAGCUUUUGCAUCAAUUCAUUUAGAUCCAAUGUUGCCUCGUGUAAAGAAUAAACCAUGUAUCUUAUGGUCUGAUCUCUGCCAAUAUGAAUUUGACUGUUGGCAUUUGUUGUUACCAAAUAGAUCACUUUUCAGCCAUUUAGAAAUGAGAAGUUGACUUGUGAAUGUGAAUUUGGUGUACAGGAUUUGACAACGAAAAAUAAUGUUAUGAUGAAUGAGUGAUAUUUUUAACAACCAAAGUGAUGUUUGACAUUGAGCUUUCUUAUUCUUGCAGCACACUGUUAGUAGUACUAUUUCGUUGAACAGAUGCAAUUUGUGUACUAACAAGUUUUCACUUUCCCAUGUGGGCGCUGAGGUGAUCGACGCUGACUAGCGCGGCCUGGUGGCGCUGUGCUCUUCGACCACUCGGAGGUGGAUUGAUGCAAUUUGCGUACUAACAAGUUUUCACUUUCCCAUGUGGGCGCUGAGGUGAUCGACGCUGACUAGCGCGGCCUGGUGGCACUGUGCUCUUCGACCACUCGGAGGUGGACUUCACCGUGAAGCCCGAUUUCCACGUCACACGGAUGAUCGCCCAGGUGAUUUCGACACCGGAGGUCGCUGAUGUGGAGGACCUCGACGCCACCGUCCGAGGGAGGGUGGAUUCCUGUCCACCGGCAUCUGAACUCCGAGCCUUGUAGAUACAUCUAGAGAAGUGGUCUGUUUAGGUUGGUGGUAGACCACUAGGGAAGGUACCCACCUUACGAUGAUGGUUGUGUGUGUCUGAUGUUAAAUGGAAUCUUGAGAUGGUUUUGUGAUGUUGGUUUGGUUUGCACUGGACGUAUUACCAUUCAUGAAUACAACAUCUAAUUUUUAUUUGUUUUAA